CAGCAGCCGCGGGAAAACGUAGGUGGCAAGCGUUGUCCGGAAUUAUUGGGCGUAAAGCGCGCGCAGGCGGAUCAGUCAGUCUGUCUUAAAAGUUCGGGGCUUAACCCCGUGAUGGGAUGGAAACUGCUGAUCUAGAGUAUCGGAGAGGAAAGUGGAAUUCCUAGUGUAGCGGUGAAGUGCGUAGAUAUUAGGAAGAACACCAGUGGCGAAGGCGACUUUCUGGACGAAAACUGACGCUGAGGCGCGAAAGCCAGGGUAGCGAACGGGAUUAGAUACCCGGGUAGUCCCUGUCUCUUAUACA
rnacentral:rRNA from 1 species